GCACAUCUAUGGGCCGUAACUGACGCUGAGGAGCGAAAGCGUGGGGAGCGAACAGGAUUAGAUACCCUGGUAGUCCACGCCGUAAACGGUGGGUGCUAGUUGUGGGCCACAUUCCACGUGGUCCGUGACGAAGUUAACACAUUAAGCACCCCGCCUGGGGAGUACGGUCGCAAGACUAAAACUCAAAGGAAUUGACGGGGGCCCGCACAAGCGGCGGAGCAUGCGGAUUAAUUCGAUGCAACGCGAAGAACCUUACCAAGGCUUGACAUAUAGAGGAAACGUGCAGAAAUGUACGCCCCGCAAGGUCUCUAUACAGGUGGUGCAUGGUUGUCGUCAGCUCGUGUCGUGAGAUGUUGGGUUAAGUCCCGCAACGAGCGCAACCCUUAUCAUUAGUUGCUACGCAAGGGCACUCUAAUGAGACUGCCGGUGACAAACCGGAGGAAGGUGGGGAUGACGUCAAGUCCUCAUGGCCCUUAUGGGUAGGGCUUCACACGUCAUACAAUGGUCGGUACAGAGGGUUGCCAAGCCGCGAGGUGGAGCCAAUCCCAGAAAGCCGAUCGUAGUCCGGAUUGUUCUCUGCAACUCGAGAGCAUGAAGUCGGAAUCGCUAGUAAUCGCGGAUCAGCAUGUCGCGGUGAAUACGUUCCCGGGUCUUGUACACACCGCCCGUAAGGG
rnacentral:rRNA from 1 species